rnacentral:lncRNA from 1 species
CUAUAAUCAAUGCACACUCGCCAACCUGUUUGGAUACGGGUUGGCACAAGCUCAUUCUCGGCAUUCUUCACCACUGUCACUCCGGACUUCUUUGGAACACAUUGCACCGGUGACACCCAACGACUAUCAGAGAUCGGAUAAAUUACUCCACAAUCAAGAAGUUUGAUAAUCUCCUUUUUCACAACUUCCAUCAUUGGAGGGUUGAGACGGCGCUGAGCC